rnacentral:rRNA from 1 species
GGGGAAUUUUGGACAAUGGGGGAAACCCUGAUCCAGCAAUGCCGCGUGCAGGAUGAAGGCCUUCGGGUUGUAAACUGCUUUUGUACGGAACGAAAAGGCUCUGGAUAAUACCUGGGGCUCAUGACGGUACCGUAAGAAUAAGCACCGGCUAACUACGUGCCAGCAGCCGCGGUAAUACGUAGGGUGCAAGCGUUAAUCGGAAUUACUGGGCGUAAAGCGUGCGCAGGCGGUUAUGUAAGACAGAGGUGAAAUCCCCGGGCUCAACCUGGGAACGGCCUUUGUGACUGCAUAGCUAGAGUACGGUAGAGGGGGAUGGAAUUCCGCGUGUAGCAGUGAAAUGCGUAGAUAUGCGGAGGAACACCGAUGGCGAAGGCAAUCCCCUGGACCUGUACUGACGCUCAUGCACGAAAGCGUGGGGAGCAAAC